rnacentral:rRNA from 1 species
UACGUAGGGGGCAAGCGUUGUCCGGAAUCAUUGGGCGUAAAGCGCGUGUAGGCGGUUCGGUAAGUCCGCUGUGAAAGUCGGGGGCUCAACCCUCGGAUGCCGGUGGAUACUGUCGGGCUUGAGUACGGAAGAGGCGAGUGGAAUUCCUGGUGUAGCGGUGAAAUGCGCAGAUAUCAGGAGGAACACCAAUUGCGAAGGCAGCUCGCUGGGACGUUACUGACGCUGAGACGCGAAAGCGUGGGUAGCAAACAGG